rnacentral:rRNA from 1 species
UAGGGAAUCUUCGGCAAUGGACGAAAGUCUGACCGAGCAACGCCGCGUGAGUGAAGAAGGUUUUCGGAUCGUAAAACUCUGUUGUUAGAGAAGAACAAGGACGUUAGUAACUGAACGUCCCCUGACGGUAUCUAACCAGAAAGCCACGGCUAACUACGUGCCAGCAGCCGCGGUAAUACGUAGGUGGCAAGCGUUGUCCGGAUUUAUUGGGCGUAAAGCGAGCGCAGGCGGUUUCUUAAGUCUGAUGUGAAAGCCCCCGGCUCAACCGGGGAGGGUCAGUGGAAACUGGGAGACUUGAGUGCAGAAGAGGAGAGUGGAAUUCCAUGUGUAGCGGUGAAAUGCGUAGAUAUAUGGAGGAACACCAGUGGCGAAGGCGGCGCUCUGGUCUGUAACUGACGCUGAGGCUCGAAAGCGUGGGGGGCAAACAGG